rnacentral:lncRNA from 1 species
AAAUAGAAAAAAGUGAGGUUGUUAGGAUUAUAUGUGGAUCAUUAAAAUUUUUAUUUGAUUAUUAGGAUUGUAUGGAUAGAUUAUUAGAAUUUUCAGACGGUUAAAAUUAUAUGAAAUUAUAUGGAUAAAUUAUUAUGAUUUAAAAGUUGUUAAGAUUAUAUGUGAUUUCAUAAAAUUUUUAUGUGGUUGUUAGAAUUCUAUAUGGAAUAUAGAAAGAAACAGUAAAUAAGUGAAAGGCGGUGAAUGAUUCACCGUCUUUAAAAGAAAUGGGAGAAAGCGGGGAAUCAUUUCAGCUAAUUUUUCAAAUAAAAUUUUGAAAGGAUUAUUUCGUAAAUUUUUAAAUUCUAGAGGGUUGUUUUAUAAAAAAAGA